UGAAUGUUUUGGAUCUGUGGUAGAUGGUAGCAAAGGUUUGAUAGAAAUCAGUGGAAGUUGCAGCAAGUAUGUGCUGUCUUGUAAGAGUAGAAUUGUCGUCGAAGAAACAACGGUUUCUCGACGUAAUUUCCACCAAAAACUUGAGAGAAUUGAGGAGGGAAUUGAUAGCAAAAUCACAAUUUAUAUGACAGCAAGGAUAUCUAAUUUAAUCAAAAAAAAUUC
rnacentral:lncRNA from 1 species